rnacentral:rRNA from 1 species
GAGGAAGGUGGAUAUGUUAAUAGCAUAUUCAUUUUGACGUUUAGCUGCAGAAGAAGCACCGGGCUAACUCCCGUGCCAGCAGCCGCGGUAAUACGGAGGGUGCGAGCGUUAAUCGGAAUUACUGGGCGUAAAGCGCAUGCAGGUGGUUUGUUAAGUCAGAUGUGAAAAGCCCGGGGCUCAACCUCGGAAUUGCAUUUGAAACUGGCAAACUAGAGUACUGUAGAGGGGGUAGAAUUUCAGGUGUAGCGGUGAAAUGCGUAGAGAUCUGAAGGAAUACCGGUGGCGAAGGCGGCCCCCUGGACAGAUACUGACACUCAGAUGCGAAAGCGUGGGGAGCAAACAGGAUUAGAUACCCUGGUAG